UACGAAGGGGGCUAGCGUUGCUCGGAAUGACUGGGCGUAAAGGGCGCGUAGGCGGUUUGUACAGUCAGGUGUGAAAUCCCCGGGCUCAACCUGGGAACUGCAUUUGUGACUGCACAGCUGGAGUGCGGCAGAGGGAGGUGGAAUUCCGCGUGUAGCAGUGAAAUGCGUAGAGAUGCGGAGGAACACCGAUGGCGAAGGCAGCCUCCUGGGAUAACACUGACGCUCAGGCACGAAAGCGUGGGGAGCAAACAGG
rnacentral:rRNA from 1 species